CAGAUAAAAAAAAGAACAACCCCGAUCCCCUUUUCCUAUCGUCUUUCUCUGUCUCCUCGUCGCUGCUCCCGGCCGCCGCGCCUCCGCAACUCCUGGCCUCCUCCUCCUCCUCCAUUAUUUAUCCCCGCAUCCGCGCCCAGCUCUCCUAAGUCCUGGCCAACGCCCCUGCUCGUAUCCUCUCUGUAAACCUAGACGAGAGACAUGGAGGUAACCAGUGGUGAUGGUGGUGGUGGGAGGAGCGUUUGAUUCCCACAACUCCACGUGUGGAGCAUGGAAGAAUCCAGCCCCAUUCCCCCUUCCUUGUCUGGACAGCCAGAUUUGUUUGCGUUGGAUCUUAAAGUUGAAUCAUUUAGCACUAACCAUCCAUCGGGCUUGAAAUCUUACUUCAAGGGCAGAGUGUUGAAAUGGGUUGUCGACCGCAAGUCGUUGACUGUGGAUGCUAUGAGGUUCCAAGCUGCAUAUGCUGGGGUGAUUGCAUCAAUGACAGAUAAAUCAGAGUGGCCCGAAGUUGAUCUAGGAUUUAAGGUACACCCUCCUGUACAAACGAAGAAUGUGCCUGGUAGGCCUAGGAAGGUGAGGAUUAGAGGUUGGAUGGAACCUAUGAGAAGAACAGUUAAAUGCAAGAGAUGUAAAUGAUUUGGCCAUCAUCAGAAAACUUGCAAACUUCCUUUUAAAUUAGACGAUGAAGAGGAAGAAGAGCCAGAUGAUGGGGAGCAAGAAAAGCCAGAUGAUGUAGAGAAACAAGAAAAUCCCGAUGAUGGAGAGCAACAAGGACUAGAUGAUGGAGAGCAAAAAGCAAGUGAGGAGGUGGAUCCAGCCCCUAAAGAGGUGCAACCAGCCACGAAAAGGAAGAAGGGUGCAGCUAAAUCUCAAACUAAAGGAGCACCACCUGCAAAGAUAGGAGGUAAUAAGAUGGCUACAGCAAAAUCCCCAACUCAAGGAGCUUCUCAAGCAAAAGGCAAGAAGAACAUUGCAUCAAACUCAACUAAAACUCCAGCUGAAGGCAAGAAAAAGGCAGCAGCUAAAUCCCCAACAAAGGGUGGGAAGAGAAAGCCAAAGGGUACUACACCUACAAAGGAAAGUGGGUCUGCAACCAUUACAGUGAGCCAGAAGUUGGCAUCAAAAGGAAGUUGAGUGAUUUGAUUAGAGAGAAGUAGUAGUUGCUUGUAAUUUGUGUUUUCAUCUUAUUAAAACCAUCACGUGACAAUUGAUUCUCUGAACUGGUCAUGAUUUGUGUAAUGUUAUUUUGCCCAGAAUUGGGGGAAUUUAGGAUGUGAACUGAUGCUAUUUGGCCAAGUGGUAUGAUAUUUAAGUCAAGUUGUCAA